GAUGAACGCUGGCGGCGUGCCUAAUACAUGCAAGUCGAGCGAACGGACGAGAAGCUUGCUUCUCUGAUGUUAGCGGCGGACGGGUGAGUAACACGUGGAUAACCUACCUAUAAGACUGGGAUAACUUCGGGAAACCGGAGCUGAUACCGGAUAAUAUUUUGAACCGCAUGGUUCAAAAGUGAAAGACGGUCUUGCUGUCACUUAUAGAUGGAUCCGCGCUGCAUUAGCUAGUUGGUAAGGUAACGGCUUACCAAGGCAACGAUGCAUAGCCGACCUGAGAGGGUGAUCGGCCACACUGGAGCUGAGACACGGUCCAGACUCCUACGGGAGGCAGCAGUAGGGAAUCUUCCGCAAUGGGCGAAAGCCUGACGGAGCAACGCCGCGUGAGUGAUGAAGGUCCUCGGAUCGUAAAACUCUGUUAUUAGGGAAGAACAUAUGUGUAAGUAACUGUGCACAUCUUGACGGUACCUAAUCAGAAAGCCACGGCUAACUACGUG
rnacentral:rRNA from 1 species